CUAGUAGUGCCAAAGUGCUCAUAGUGCAGGUAGGUUUUGCUGCACUCUACUGCAGUGUGAGCACUUCUGGUACUCUUCG
rfam:Rattus norvegicus chromosome X, whole genome shotgun sequence.